UACAGAGGGGGCAAGCGUUGUUCGGAAUUACUGGGCGUAAAGGGCGCGUAGGCGGCCGCCUAAGUCAGACGUGAAAUCCCUCGGCUCAACCGGGGAACUGCGUCUGAUACUGGGUGGCUUGAAUCCGGGAGAGGGAUGCGGAAUUCCAGGUGUAGCGGUGAAAUGCGUAGAUAUCUGGAGGAACACCGGUGGCGAAGGCGGCAUCCUGGACCGGCAUUGACGCUGAGGCGCGAAAGCCUGGGGAGCAAACGGG
rnacentral:rRNA from 1 species